rfam:Guillardia theta CCMP2712 unplaced genomic scaffold GTITHscaffold_123, whole genome shotgun sequence.
AACUCUUAACAAUGGAUAUCUUGGUUCUCGCAACGAUGAAGAACGCAGCGAAAUGCGAUACGUAGUGUGAAUUGCAGGGCUCAGUGAAUCAUCGAGACUUUGAACGCACAUUGCGCUCGUGCUCUGCACGAGCACGGCUGUCUGAGGGACG